rnacentral:rRNA from 1 species
GAUGAACGCUGGCGGCGUGCCUAAUACAUGCAAGUCGAGCGAACAGACGAGGAGCUUGCUCCUCUGACGUUAGCGGCGGACGGGUGAGUAACACGUGGAUAACCUACCUAUAAGACUGGGAUAACUUCGGGAAACCGGAGCUAAUACCGGAUAAUAUAUUGAACCGCAUGGUUCAAUAGUGAAAGACGGUUUUGCUGUCACUUAUAGAUGGAUCCGCGCCGCAUUAGCUAGUUGGUAAGGUAACGGCUUACCAAGGCGACGAUGCGUAGCCGACCUGAGAGAGUGAUCGGCCACACUGGAACUUGGACACGGUCCAGACUCCUACGGGAGGCAGCAGUAGGGAAUCGUCCGCAAUGGGCGAAAGCCUGACGGAGCAACGCCGCGUGAGUGAUGAAGGUCUUCGGAUCGUAAAACUCUGUUAUUAGGGAAGAACAAAUGUGUAAGUAACUAUGCACGUCUUGACGGUACCUAAUCAGAAAGCCACGGCUAACUACGUG